rnacentral:rRNA from 1 species
CCUACGGGCGGCAGCAGUGGGGAAUAUUGGGCAAUGGGCGCAAGCCUGACCCAGCAACGCCGCGUGAAGGAAGAAGGCUUUCGGGUUGUAAACUUCUUUUGACAGGGAAGAGUAGAAGACGGUACCUGUCGAAUAAGCCACGGCUAACUACGUGCCAGCAGCCGCGGUAAUACGUAGGUGGCAAGCGUUGUCCGGAUUUACUGGGUGUAAAGGGCGUGUAGCCGGGUUGACAAGUCAGAUGUGAAAUCCUGCGGCUUAACCGCAGAACUGCAUUUGAAACUGUUGAUCUUGAGUACUGGAGAGGCAGACGGAAUUCCUAGUGUAGCGGUGAAAUGCGUAGAUAUUAGGAGGAACACCAGUGGCGAAGGCGGGUUCCUGGACAUUAACUGACGCUGAGGCACGAAGGCCAGGGGAGCGAAAGGGAUUAGAUACCCUUGUAGUC